rnacentral:rRNA from 1 species
ACUACGGGCGGCAGCAGUGAGGAAUAUUGGUCAAUGGGCGCGAGCCUGAACCAGCCAAGUAGCGUGAAGGAUGACUGCCCUACGGGUUGUAAACUUCUUUUAUAAAGGAAUAAAGUGAGGCACGUGUGCCUUUUUGUAUGUACUUUAUGAAUAAGGAUCGGCUAACUCCGUGCCAGCAGCCGCGGUGAUACGGAGGAUCCGAGCGUUAUCCGGAUUUAUUUGGUUUAAAGGGAGCGUAGAAGGGGUGUUAAGUCAGUUGUGAAAGUUUGGGGCUCAACCGUAAAAGUGCAAUUGAUACUGGCAGCCUUGAGUACAGUUGAGGUAGGCGGAAUUCGUGGUGUAGCGGUGAAAUGCUUAGAUAUCACGAAGAACUCCGAUUGCGAAGGCAGCCUACUAAACUGCAACUGACAUUGAUGCUCGAAAGUGUGGGUAUCAAACAGGAUUAGAUACCCCUGUAGUC